AUAAAAAGUGCCCGGAUUUUCCUGGGCGUCUGCCCCGCCCCUUGUUUUACUGUCAUCCCCAGAUAGAGAGGCGACAGGGUUAAGGGAAAGAGGACGCCAGGUGGAUUAAGGCGCAAAGUAAAGUGGUCUUUUUAACAGCCGUCUUGUGUCUUCCCCAGGGUCUCUGUUUGAGUUGAGCAUCAGAUUAACAGUGUCCCCUGGUUGUCAGCGAUGGGGAAGCUGAAAGAAAACAUCCUCCCAGACCCUCCAGGAGCUGAUCAGAAACAAUCAGGUGCCCAGACCAAAGGAUAUGUGCCUUGACCCGGGAUCAAACCUGCAGCCUCGCGGUGACCUGGACAACACGCUCUGACCAGCUGGCGUCCCUGCUUCCGUCCCCAGCAGGCGCCUCCGACCCCCUCCCCAGCAGCACGAGCCUGCUCUGCGCCGCGGCGUUCCAACCAGAGUAGCCAGAUGUAACAAAUAAAAAUACGGACGCCCAGUUAAAUUUGAAUUUCAGAUAAACAAGGACUAAUUUGUUAGUGUAAGUUGCAUAUCCCAUGAAAUA